AGCACCUCAAGUGGUCAGGAUGAUUAUUGGGCCUAAAGCAUCCGUAGCCUGCUCUGUAAGUUUUCGGUUAAAUCUGUACGCUUAACGUACAGGCUGCCGGGAAUACUGCAGAGCUAGGGAGUGGGAGAGGUAGACGGUACUCGGGAGGAAGUGGUAAAAUGCUUUGAUCUCUCGAUGACCACCUGUGGCGAAGGCGGUCUACCAGAACACGUCCGACGGUGAGGGAUGAAAGCUGGGGGGAGCAAACCGGAUUAGAUACCCGGGUAGUCCCAGCUGUAAACUAUGCAAACUCAGUGAUGCAUUGGCUUGUGGCCAAUGCAGUGUUGCAGGGAAGCCCGUUAAAGUUUGCCGCCUGGGAAGUACGUACGCAAGUAUG
rnacentral:rRNA from 1 species